UACGUAGGGCGCAAGCGUUGUCCGGAAUUAUUGGGCGUAAAGAGCUCGUAGGCGGUCUGUUACGUCCGCUGUGAAAACCCGGGGCUUAACCCUGGGCUGGCAGUGGAUACGGGUAGACUAGAGGCAGGUAGGGGAGAAUGGAAUUCCCGGUGUAGCGGUGAAAUGCGCAGAUAUCGGGAGGAACACCGGUGGCGAAGGCGGCGUCCUGGACCAACACUGACACUGAUGAGCGAAAGCCAGGGGAGCAAACGGG
rnacentral:rRNA from 1 species